GUGUUCCAAUCAGGUUACAUAGGAAAUAUGUAAUAUAUAAAAGGCUUGAAGGAAGCAAGUACUAGCAGUGCAAGUGUUGCGGUCCCGCUGAAACUUCACCUCCUUCAGUCUUCUUGCAUCGCAGUCAGUAUACUGUCAUCUACCCCAAGUCCAGUGAGUUAUAACAAGCAUCCUUCAACAUGUCUGAAGAAGAAAAAGAGACGGUUUACCAUUACACAGACGAGGAAAGCGCGAAGAAGAUUAUUGAAGACGGUACUAUCAAGCAAAGCAUAAGUAGUGACUCGGCAAAUGCUGUCUUUGGUACAGGAACCUACGUAACAACAUUGCCACCUAGUCAUGGCAAAGAAGCUAUCGCCAGAAACAAUUACGAUGAUAUGAAAGGGCUCCAAGAACGGAAGAUAAAUGAAGGCAAAGUGGAUGUUGCCAUCAAGAUGGAAGUCUCUAAAGCCAAAUUAGAGAAAGUUGAUGCAGGAGGUCGGAAUGUCUCAAUUCACCAUGGAGACAUUCCCCUGAAAGGCAAAUGUUCCGUUGUGAAAACACCCGAUAAACCCUCAAAAUAAAAGCGCCUUUGUCUUUAUAUUAACACUGUCUUAAAUAUUAAGACAGAAAGACAAACUCGUGUUCUGAAGUACUGCUUACACAAACGAUGUAUAUAACAGAUAUAAACAUAUUAAUUUUGUUUAGUGAAGUAAAGAGAAUCACGAGAAUUACUUUCCUGUUGUCUUCCUGCAGAACACCACGGAUACAGUGAAAAAUAUAUCAACAUGUCAUUAUUUUAACACCUUUAGCUCGGUGUCUGAUUGUUUCUUCAACAAUAUAGAAAUUUGAUAAGAUGACACUCUCUCCGUUAUCUUGACUUCAACUAAAUCCAAUAAAUAUUACUUAAUUAGUGCACGCACGCAAGUAGACAUGCAUACACAUAGAGUAAAAGAUAAUGUUAGGGGUCAAACGGGUGCAAUAUAUGUCGCAAUGAUUCAAGUAAAACAAAAGGUCAUCUUUAAAUUUAUGAAGAGGAAAAUAUGUGAAUGACAUGGCUAACCUAGGAAAAAUUCGGACUUGGUGCAACUAUGUCUGAAGUAAGAGAUGUAAUUCUCAAUCGCAUACAUUUAGAAAUGUUAGAGAAGUCAUAUGUGCUGAUCUGCCACAAUAUAAAGUAAGAUUAAACUAGUAGACAGGCAGACCAAGACAGACGAGAAGAGCUGGUAAUUCUUGAUCUCAGAUCGGUUACUAUUUUACUUUGAUUGUGAUAGUUAAGCUGAUGCUAAAUAAAUUGUCAGAUUUUUUUUUAAAAACAAGAAUUGUCACCGCCUUGUGGAGAGAAUAAAUUUGGAAACUUGGAAA
rnacentral:lncRNA from 1 species